CCUACGGGGGGCAGCAGUAGGGAAUCUUCCACAAUGGACGAAAGUCUGAUGGAGCAACGCCGCGUGAGUGAAGAAGGGUUUCUGCUCGUAAAGCUCUGUUGGUAGUGAAGAAAGCUAGAGUUAGUAACUGGCCUUUAUUUGACGGUAAUUACUUAGAAAGUCACGGCUAACUACGUGCCAGCAGCCGCGGUAAUACGUAGGUGGCAAGCGUUGUCCGGAUUUAUUGGGCGUAAAGCGAGUGCAGGCGGUUCAAUAAGUCUGAUGUGAAAGCCUUCGGCUCAACCGGGGAAUUGCAUCAGAAACUGUGGAACUAGAGUGCAGAAGAGGAGAGUGGAACGCCAGGUGUAGCGGUGGAAUGCGUAGAUAUAUGGAAGAACACCGGUGGCGAAGGCAGCUCACUGGUCUGCAACUGACGCUGAGGCUCGAAAGCAUGGGUAGCGAACAGGAUUAGAUACCCUAGUAGUC
rnacentral:rRNA from 1 species